rnacentral:rRNA from 1 species
GAUGAACGCUGGCGGCGUGCCUAAUACAUGCAAGUCGAGCGAACAGACGAGGAGCUUGCUCCUCUGACGUUAGCGGCGGACGGGUGAGUAACACGUGGAUAACCUACCUAUAAGACUGGGAUAACUUCGGGAAACCGGAGCUAAUACCGGAUAAUAUAUUGAACCGCAUGGUUCAAUAGUGAAAGACGGUUUUGCUGUCACUUAUAGAUGGAUCCGCGCCGCAUUAGCUAGUUGGUAAGGUAACGGCUUACCAAGGCGACGAUGCGUAGCCGACCUGAGAGGGUGAUCGGCCACACUGGAACUGAGACACGGUCCAGACUCCUAAGGGAGGCAGCAGUAGGGAAUCUUCCGCAAUGGGCGAAAGCCUGACGGAGCAACGCCGCGGGAGUGAUGAAGGUCUUCGGAUCGUAAAACUCUGUUAUUAGGGAAGAACAAAUGUGUAAGUAACUAUGCACGUCUUGACGGUACCUAAUCAGAAAGCCACGGCUAACUACGUG